rnacentral:rRNA from 1 species
GACGAACGCUGGCGGCGUGCUUAACACAUGCAAGUCGAACGGAAAGGCCCUGCUUUUGUUGGGUGCUCGAGUGGCGAACGGGUGAGUAACACGUGAGUAACCUGCCCUUGACUUUGGGAUAACUUCAGGAAACUGGAGCUAAUACCGGAUAGGAGCUCCUGCUGCAUGGUGGGGGUUGGAAAGUUUCGGCGGUUGUGGAUGGACUCGCGGCUUAUCAGCUUGUUGGUGUGGUAGUGGCUUACCAAGGCUUUGACGGGUAGCCGGCCUGAGAGGGUGACCGGCCACAUUGGGACUGAGAUACGGCCCAGACUCCUACGGGAGGCAGCAGUGGGGAAUAUUGCACAGUGGGCGGAAGCCUGAUGCAGCAACGCCGCGUGCGGGAUGACGGCCUUCGGGUUGUAAACCGCUUUCGCCUGUGACGAAGCGUGAGUGACGGUAAUGGGUAAAGAAGCACCGGCUAACUACGUG